rnacentral:rRNA from 1 species
UACGUAGGGCGCGAGCGUUGUCCGGAAUCAUUGGGCGUAAAGAGCUCGUAGGCGGCUUGUCACGUCGGAUGUGAAAGCCCGAGGCUUAACCUCGGGUCUGCAUUCGAUACGGGCUAGCUAGAGUGUGGUAGGGGAGAUCGGAAUUCCUGGUGUAGCGGUGAAAUGCGCAGAUAUCAGGAGGAACACCGGUGGCGAAGGCGGAUCUCUGGGCCAUUACUGACGCUGAGGAGCGAAAGCGUGGGGAGCGAACAGG